UACGUAGGGUGCAAGCGUUGUCCGGAAUUAUUGGGCGUAAAGAGCUCGUAGGCGGUUCGUCGCGUCGGCCGUGAAAACCUGGGGCUCAACUCUGGGCGUGCGGUCGAUACGGGCAUCACUUGAGUUCGGCAGGGGAGACUGGAAUUCCUGGUGUAGCGGUGAAAUGCGCAGAUAUCAGGAGGAACACCGGUGGCGAAGGCGGGUCUCUGGGCCGAUACUGACGCUGAGGAGCGAAAGCAUGGGUAGCGAACAGG
rnacentral:rRNA from 1 species